rnacentral:tRNA from 1 species
UGGCUCAGAGGUUAAGAGCACUGGCUACUCUUCCAGAGGACCUGGGUUCGAUUCCCAG